rnacentral:rRNA from 1 species
UACGUAGGGUGCGAGCGUUGUCCGGAAUUAUUGGGCGUAAAGAGCUCGUAGGCGGUCUGUUGCGUCCGCUGUGAAAACUCAGGGCUUAACCCCGAGCCUGCAGUGGAUACGGGCAGACUAGAGGUAGGUAGGGGAGAAUGGAAUUCCCGGUGUAGCGGUGAAAUGCGCAGAUAUCGGGAGGAACACCGGUGGCGAAGGCGGUUCUCUGGGCCUUACCUGACGCUGAGGAGCCGAAAGCGUGGGGAGCGAACAGG